AUGGAGGAGUGCAGUUCACCCUCUCUCUCUCUCUAUAUAUAUAUAUAUAUAGAGAUAUAUGAGUACUUGGUUGUUUUGGUUUGCGGGUUUUAGCUCUGUUCUCUUAUCCCUAAACCUCAACGCGCACACAUUCUAUGUACCUAUCCCUGCGCUACCAUUCACACAUCACACAGUAUGCUAGCCUCUCUCUCUCUCUCUCUCUGCAUAAUGUGAAUAUAUUAGCAUUAGUAUGUUAUAUGCGAGUUAGGUUUAUUUUGGUUUGCUUAAAUGAAAAUCUCACGAAUUUCGAUCAAGGCGUGAGCCACUCAUAGAUCUCUACACUGCACACCCAAUUUCCUUUCUCCAUUUCUCUCAUCCUUCAUCUCCACGCAACCUAACUCAAUCCAGAUCCACUGAAAAUCGAAAACAUGGUACCAGAGAGGCCGUGAAAGCUAGAUAGUCAGAUCGCUCAUUUACAGAAAGAGAAAAAGAGAAAGCAACGACGGUAAAUCCUUCUUUGGAGAUUAAUUUAACACCAUUCAUCAUUUGAUGGUUUAAUUAACGGAAGAGAGAGAAAGAGAAAUAGAAAAGAGGUUUGUUUGUUGAGCGAGGGUUUAUAGAGGGGAGAGAGAGAGAGAGAUCGGAGAAGAAAAUGUCGUCGUCGAAUUCACCUUGCGCAGCGUGCAAGUUCUUGCGGAGGAAGUGCACGCAGGAGUGCGUUUUCGCGCCGUAUUUCCCGCCGGACAACCCGCAGAGGUUCGCAUACGUGCACAAGGUUUUCGGCGCCAGCAACGUCGCCAAGCUGCUGAACGAACUCAACGCCGCGCAGAGAGACGACGCCGUGAAGUCGUUGGCGUACGAGGCUGAGGCGCGUUUAAGAGACCCCGUCUACGGUUGCGUGGGUCUCAUAUCGGUGCUGCAGCACCGGCUCCGGCAGAUCCAGGUGGAGCUCACCAACGCCAAGAAGGAGCUCGCCACCUACAUUGGCCCUCAGGCACUGCAGGGUGUCCCAACCACCGCCAUUCUCCAGCAUCACCAUUCCUUUGCCUCGCAGAUGUUCCCUUACAACAGCGCCAUGGCUGCUCCGCCAGCUAUUGCUCAUGGCGGACAGUUGAUGAUUCGCGACGCUCAGACUGCCCCUCCGACUCCGCAACAGCAGAUCUUGGAGGCUCAGCAGCUGGCUGCUGCGGUGGUGGUGAGGGAUCAACAAGAUAUGUUCAGAGGGUAUGAUCAGCAUCAUCAACAGCAAGAGUUUCUGAGGUUUAAUGGUGGAGGGUUUGAUAUGGGUUCGGUUUCUUCCGGUGGUGGUGGGUACAGCCAGGUUAGUGGCGGUGGAAGUGGUGGCGGUUCUGGUGAUCAGUUGUCUCCUUCGUUGGCUUUGGGGUCUUUUGACAAUCCAUACCAUAUGCAGCAAGGGGAAAGCCAUGCUCACCAUCUUCCUCUUCAGGCGCAGCUACUUCUCCCACCGCAGCAGAAGCAGGCUCAACAGCAAGCACAGUCACAGCAUAUUCCCGGCCACCACCACCAGCAACCUUCGGAAAGCGAGGAGUGUAGGAGUGUCGGUCCAUCUUGUUGAUUCCCAAUUUUGACACAUCUUACGCCUUCCUCCUUUUUUGCUUCAACAAUUUUCAGAUUAGGUUUUAAAGAUGUGCGGGGUCAAGUCUAGUUUGGUGGGAGCAGAAAGGAACAAAUGUGAGUGUUGAUGGUAGUAAGCAAAAGGGUAGGUUCAGGGGAAUGGUCUUUUCAAAAUGAGAGGAGAUAAAGGCUUCUGUUCAUCAAUUAUGAGAACAUGAGCAGUUAAUUGCCGCUUUGGGGUUGCCAGCAAAUUAAAGCAUAUUUAUUUAUUUGUUUUCUGUGAAGGAGAAGUCUCAUGCUUGCUGGGGUAACAAAACAAUGUUCUACAUGUCCAUGUGUUUUAUUUUUUAAUUAAAAAAAAAAGAAGACCAUAUAUAUUAUGCUCUGAAGUCAAGUAACGUAACUGUAGCGGUGUCACUGAAAUUCGGCAAUCUAUCAAUUCAAUGCCUUGGCUUUUGCAA